CAGCAUAUUUGGUAUGCGUAUUGACUACCUCACCUCUUAGUGAGGAGCGUGUAGGCUACAGAUAUGGCGGAGAAAGCAACGCAGUGAGGUAUGUGCACCAAACUGGACUGGGUGAGGUAGCAAGAACACGGGAACGGCGGGAUAUACGAGGCCGCGGUAACACUAUUUGCUGCCUGUUGCUUCAGCAGCUCCCAUAGAACGAGGCUCAUAACGGAGGCUCCUCGCCUCGGUCUAUCUCUGUACUGAGGAGAAGACCCCGCGUCGCUGCUGCUGUUAUGUUGAUCAUGUAAUCUCCUGUUGAUAGUCGGUCAUUCGUUUCUCUGUUUUUCUUUCGUUGUCUUUUUCACCUUUCCCAAAUUGGCGCAGCCAGGAGCGAGGGCGGGCGACGUGCCUCAGCCAUUAGCCAGCUAUUCGGUCGGCGAGUCCUUAAAACCGCACUCAACGGACGCUCUACGCAGACAGACCGCUAGGCAGACAAGCAGACAAGCUACAGAUCUUUGUAGUAGAGUCACUGUCUAGUAAACAAAGUACGAGGCUAUCUGACCGUGAAAAGUGCCCCUAGAAAGAUAGUCGUUAGGGCAAGUACGCAAUUGUGCCGAGGCAAACUUGAUUUGGAUUGACGUUAAAUUAACUGAAAUAGGAAAGCACAAGCUGAAAAACGGAUGCAGGCAAUUACUACUUUGGCGGGAUCUUUUCUACAGUAAUGGAUGGUGGGCGCGAUUUCCAACACCCAUUAAAUCGUAUCGUACCGCAUAUGGACAGCAACAGCAACAACAACAGCGGCAGCGGCAGCAACAGCUGUAGUCUCCGCAACAAUUACAGGCCGCUGGCGCUACAAUAAAUGACCCCGUGUAGCAGUCUUUACCGGCGGUAAACAACAUCUGUGUUUCUCUUCAUUUCUUUUUUACAUCUUAAAUGCGUUUACCAACCUUGAGAGCAGUAUCAAAGUAUAAUGUCGUUGCUAACAGUUGUUACUGUCGUUCUCGCUGGAAGAAUUGCUGACAAACUCGCGCAUCUAUCGGUCAAUCUGCACGUAUUUAAUAGUGGCAUAUGUAGCGGACGAAACUGAAAGGAAGGCGGAACGGCAGCCAGCCUCGUCUGAGCUGUCGUUGCAGCGAGCUCAAGCAUGUCAGUGUUUCCAUGUUUGUAAUUUCCGUAAACAACAGAUAUCGACGGGUAAACUAACAUACGUGGUCAUUAUCUUUCGUUUGUACCGGCAAGGCCAGCAGCGGUCAUACGAUGCCAUGACCGUUGACCGCCGCUGGACGACGCUGAUACCGCCCGUUUGUAAUAAAGCGAUUCUUCAAUUAGAGAUCCGUAAAUAAACUGAAUGUGAAUCGUCAACUCAUUAUGGUCUGUACGCUUUGUGUUCAUAGAUGGUACUUUCAUAAGGCAUCGAACGAAGUCCACGUUCUCCGUAAGCUUUCUAGUUAAAUAUCUUCUGCACGAUCUACUUGAAGCGUCUACAAAUAUACAUGGUUGCUUCGAGAGCGAGCACUAUCGGACCUUUUCCCGUAGUUUCGACUUGUCGAUACGAAAAAAUUACAUCUGAAAUAGCCAAAGGUAGCAGACGUUUUAGACUUCGUUCAGACAUCGGCUAGGAUUUUGCGAGCGUUAUCAGUCUGAAGUGCGCUAAGUCGUACGAGGUGAAAAUAAGAAAUAAUGUUUGUAUUCGCUAGUAUAAACGUGAACACUGAUAGUACUAAACAAGUAGGGUUUUACCCCUCUAGUGGAGAUCUGAGGAAGGCAAUAUGGUAUUUCAUGGCAUCCUCGAAUUAAGUGUGUUUUGCUGGGUGAUUAAUUAAACAACGUUGAUUUUGCCGGCGCCUUCUUUUCAAUUUAUGUGCAAUAGACGAUUCGGCUUCCGCUAUGAAACAGGACCGAAAGUAAUCGGCAACCAGAAACACUUAUGUGAUUUUGCUAUCUAUACGAAAGCUUACCCUCCUUAAGAUUUUGUGUGUCGGUCGCCGAGCUGAUUAGUAGCAUUGGAUAUCUAUAUUGGAUUUCAGCCAGCUUUCCACGCACAUAAAGCGCGUCUCAGUGGAGGUCAAUCAAGCUCGUGUAGCGUCGUCUGGUACAACGUUCUGCGACUGAACUGUGUUUGUAUAAGUGUAUGAAAGUAAUAUUCAUGUUGAUUGAGAUCCGUAGACUGACAAGUGAUUGGCGCAAGGUUCAAACAAGCAUAAGCAUAAGUACUGGAAUCCAAGCGGGGUCAGCGGAAACCUGUUACUUACGAUCGCCCCUCCUUCCGAUUCUGGGUGCCGUAUUCGUACGGUGUCAAGCGUAUACUAGUACUAUAAUCGUACCAAUAUAGCGAAAGCGGAAGUUUCCCAACUGCAGUCAACUUAGCGCUCAAGCAGUAUACGUUUAUCCCGUUAAUACCGCGUAAACACGCUCUCUGCUAGUUAGACAGGUGCAAUUGCUAAUCCAUUUGUUGCGGUAGGCAGUCAAUCCAGCUGUUACUACGGUCGCCUUUGACAUAACUAUGUGGACUGAAAAUAACUUGUAGACUACAAGCCUCUUCUAGGGAUAGAGUCUCUACUUGAGAUACUGCUAUGCUACCGGCUCAGCAACAAUUAUGUUUUGUGUCGGACAACCACCAUGUAAACUGAUUUUCAUAAAAAUAAACUCUUCGGUUUGCUAAUGAUUAUAUAUGUCUUAUGCAACGGGCUACAAUGAUAAUAUAACUGUAGCACAAUCUGACCUAUGAUGUUCGUAAGGAGCACAAUGCAUUAUGGAUUAAACGUAGAAGCAAGUAUCUUGCGUUCCACUUUGUUCAAAAAAUAAUAUCCAUUUUUUGUUAUUUUCGGCAACCCGCUUGGACUAUCACGGUUGGCCUUUUUUUACCGGAAAAUGCUACUCUUCUUGAAAACAUGGCCGCACAUAAAAAGCGGCUCUUAUUUUAGUGUUGAUUGCAAACAAACCGACUCCUUAUCGCCUGCGUUAAUUUUCCAUAAGCUGACAACGGAGAACAAUUAAUUUUGACUUUAAAAACGGAAUCAUUUCUGAUUAACCUGAAGAAGGCGCAGCAGGAAGUAAGAAGGAAGUGGAGCCAAGCUUUCGAACAGAACUGUUGGUUCCGGAAUAAGCUGGAAGAUAGGAGAGUCGAUGUUUCUCUCUGGGACGCCAUUAACAGAGCCAUAAAAAAAAUGUAAUGAUUCGGGUACGCUAGAAGAAAUACAGUUGAAGGAUAAUCAUCGGCGCUAGACUUCAUGCAAGAACCGGAAGUGAUAUGCUAACUGCAUACGGAGCUGAACAAGCACAACGUUCAGUUGCUUCAUCUUGUACGUUUUCAACAAGCAGCCAUUAAGCGUUGUCACCUUUUCUCAUUUCGGAUGUUGCGUAUGAUGUUUCUUCUCGUCCUGUUGUUGGCCAUCGACGUAGCGACAAGCUCGAUUCUGUUUGGCGGUAGUGGGUACGUAUACCCCUAUGACAGACCGUACAUCACAGGCGGAUAUGGGAGACCCUACGGUGUCUAUGGGGACCCGUACUACGGCAGGCCGCGUCCGUACCCUACCUACCCAUACUACCCAAGGUAUUAACAGACUUCUAAACGUCGGUUUCAAGAUCGUCAGUGCACGACGUCAUGAAUAGGAACAAACUAAUAUCCAACAGUACGUAGCAACGUAAUUAUACUUUAAGUUCAUAUCAUCUAAGGCCAACUGAUACAUUUGCCGUGAUUCAAACGGGAAUUUUGAUCUCAUAUGAUCCAUAGGUGCAUUUGCUAGCCGACA
rnacentral:lncRNA from 11 species